GAUGAACGCUGGCGGCGUGCCUAAUACAUGCAAGUCGAGCGAACAGACGAGGAGCUUGCUCCUCUGACGUUAGCGGCGGACGGGUGAGUAACACGUGGAUAACCUACCUAUAAGACUGGGAUAACUUCGGGAAACCGGAGCUAAUACCGGAUAAUAUAUUGAACCGCAUGGUUCAAUAGUGAAAGACGGUUUUGCUGUCACUUAUAGAUGGAUCCGCGCCGCAUUAGCUAGUUGGUAAGGUAACGGCUUACCAAGGCAACGAUGCGUAGCCGACCUGAGAGGGUGAUCGGCCACACGGGAACGGAGACACGGUCCAGACUCCUACGGAAGGAAGCAGUAGGGAAUCUUCCGCAAGGGGCGAAAGCUUGACGGAGCAACGCCGGGUGAGUGAUGAAGGUCUUCGGAUCGUAAAACUCUGUUAUGAGGGAAGAACAAAUGUGUAAGUAACUAUGCACGUCUUGACGGUACCUAAGCAGAAAGCCACGGCUAACUACGU
rnacentral:rRNA from 1 species